GCCCUCUUUCCCCUGCUGUCCUCGGCCGCCCUCGGGUCCUUUAUUUCCUGUCUCUCCUGGUGGGCCCGUCUGCAAGCAACCAGAGCAGGCUGACUUUCUACUCAACAUGUGAACACGUCUGUCUGUCUGUCUGGAUGAAAACAGAGUCAGAAGCAGGUGUUUCAGUAGUCGAUCACUCACCAGAUCUCCUCUCUCUCCUGCUGUUCCUUCAGAGCCUGCAGGUCCCUGAAAUAAAGACGUAUGACA